CAACUUCCACCUGGCUUACCUCCNUCAUUUAUGCGUCAUGACUUGUAUUGUCUUGAGCGUAUUGUGGGUUUCCUGUGUUGCAUACCUAACUAAUGGUAUCGUUUUGGUUGAUCGAAGUCCCUUUUCGUCUUGUGUUGCCUUUGUGAUGCAUGAUGAACCUUGAAGCGGUCUCUAUGUUCCACCACGUUGAUGCUAGUGUUUCGAUGUUGUGGCCCAUUGAGUGUUGCUUGGUUUCGUGGAUACAGAACAUGAUUUGGGCAUAGGGUCACUUGUGACUCUUGUUUUGUCCUUUACCGGUGUUCUUUAUAACGACGGUUCAUGUGCGUCUAGGCUUGUACUUGCGCCAUGUUCUUGUCGAAGAGGAAUGCUACCUGGUUGAUCCUGCCAGUAGUCAUAUGCUUGUCUCAAAGAUUAAGCCAUGCAUGUGUAAGUA
rnacentral:misc_RNA from 1 species